rnacentral:lncRNA from 1 species
CUUGAUCCUAGGACGUUGUUCCCUAUGUGCAUCUAUAAAUAGUAAACCCUGUUAUCAUUGUAAAGGACAAAACUUUUCUGAAAAAUAUAUGCUACACUCCAUUCAAAGCUCAAUAUAAUUUUAUCUUCUUGUUCAUUGAUAUCACUGUUGUUGUGCCCAGAAGCGUUGUUAUUUCUGCUAUGGUAUCGUUAUCUCAAGGCUGAGUAUUUUCAUCUAACUCAUCUAUUAUUUCAUGAUCAAAUGAAUACAUUUGUCUAUAAUCCACAUAUAAAUUCAACUACCAUUUUACGGGUAAACAGUUUGGCGUACACUUUAGGGCUUAGACAACUGCGUUUAAGUUAAUCCUUACCUCCUUUACUAACGCGUUUUGAUUAUUUGUUCUUAGCAAAAAUCAUAGAAAAUAGCGGAUAAUGGUGUUAAAAACACAUACAACCCUAAGGCCCUAGUAAAUCAGCAUCAAUAAGUGAUAUCAGCAGCAAGGGGAACGAGGCCACAUCGGUCCACGACAGGCGUUACUCGAGACAUAUUUGGGAGGCGACUCCUAAUGAUGCUGAAGAGGAGCACGUCAUCGAAGCGGUAAGGGUCCUGCAUAAGAAACAAGAGGCCAUUAGGGGCGAUCUCACACAGCAGGAUAAGGUUAUGACUUAUGACAGAACUACAAUUGGCAUUAUCGGGUGCUUCCAAUAACGCGAAUGGAUGAGGUGCAGUUCCUCCCGGCGCUCCCGCAAAUCGAACAACACAAAGGGUAGACAACAACACCCCGAAGGGAAAGGUCGACUCCGAUGGAGCCGAAGGGAGCAAAUCCGGUCACAACAACGAGAGUGAUCCCUUCAAAAACGAACUCAUACGGUUUAUGAGAGAAGUAACCGUCCGCAUGGACCAAUUCUCGGUUACGUCACCGGUGCUGAAAUGGCCGAACUCAAAGAAGUACACUCAAUUUCCAUAUAAACCAAGCGCGACACCGAAAUUGAUCCCAAAGUAUAUUAAAUUUCCAUAAGUGCCGAAAUACGAUGGAACUUCAAAUCCUACGGAACAUAUCACCACCUAGGAUUGGCAAGUAGGGGAAGGAGGGGGAAGGGAGGUCGGGUCGGAUGUGGUUGAGUCGAAAAUGGAUAACAAAAAUUGAAUAAAUUAUUUGGACCGACCCAUACUUAAUACAGACAAAAAAUAAGUUAACUAACUGAUAAUAUAAGUAACUAUAUUAGCCAUGACUUCUUGCAUAUGAUCACUUUUGAGAGAAUUGUUAGUCUCCUUAACUUAAGGAACCCCCAAUUUAAGGCUUUACAAAUGUAAAAGUUAAACCCAUUGGUUAUCCGUUGGUUAACCAUUUGUUAUCUAUUUUCUAAAUGGAUAAUCUGUUUCUUAUCCAUAUUUUAUUCAUUUUUAAAAAUUUAAUUAUUUAACCCAUUAUUUAGUGGAUAAUAUGGGUGGUUAAUUAUAUUUUAGUUAUUUUUCCACCCUUAUCACCACCUACAUAACGGUGGUGAAGGUGAACGAUUUAGCACCCGAAGAUUGAAUCAGUGUUGCCAUAGAAAUUUGGAGAGACUAUCAUGAUGGGGGCCUUGACGUGGUAUUCGAUUUUACCCGAGCAUCCUAAAGAUUCUUUAGAGAUGCUCGCAGAUUCUUUAAUUAAGUCCCAUCUUGGGGACAGAAAGAUGCAUGUUAUAAUUAGGUAUUUUGACUACUUAUUUGCACUUUUUAAAUUUUGUUUUAGCUCAAAAUUGCUUAAAGGUAUUCUCUAAAACUGAUGAAAUGUGUUUUCUUGCAAGAGUAUUGGAAUAUGAGUCAAAGAGAUGAAAAUCAACUCAAGAAUGAUUAAUUUUGGACAAGGACUAAAAUAAAGCAAAAAGAGUAAAGUGCAGAACGCACAAUAUUGAGAGACUACAGACCAUGAAUUACCUUUGUCAGAUUUCCUUUGCAAAGUGCGGGCUGCACAACUUCUAUGCAGCCGCAGAAGAAGAGAAUCGGAGAUAAAGGAGUCUGGAUCCAGAAGAAGUGCGGACCGCACUAUUAUUGCGUGGCCGUAAAAUUCAAAAGUGUGGUUGCACUCAAAAACGUGCGGUCUACAGAAGUCCCUCAUGUCAAGCUCAAGUUCAAGAGUGCGGCCGCACUCAAAAAUAUGCGAUCCCCGAAAUCUGAAGAAGUGCGGCCGCAACCCAGAAUUGUGCAGCCGCAGAAUCUCCGCACGGAUAAUUUUAUCUGAUAAAUUUGGUUGUGUAUAAAUAGUUUUUUUUUAUCAAAACUGUCAUGUUUUGAAUACUAGAAAAUAGAUAGCUGUUUUUUCUUUAGUGUUUUGGGUAACUUUGUAAUAAUUAAUCAUUUUAACAUUGUAUUUUCUUCCCUUUAUAAUCUAUUAUGAGUUUACUCUUAUUUUAUUUUUUAGCUUCUUCAAUUUUCUCUAUGAGUAGCUAAUUUCUUAGCAAGGAUUGUGACCCAACUCUAGUGUGGGUACCUAUUGUAUUUAAUUUAGUGCUUGUUUGUGAUUGGCUGACUGAUAUUCAGCCUAAUUCUUGAUUGUAUUUAAGAAUUAAUGGUUGCAAAUAUUGAUCCAUCCCUAAUUGACCCAGUCUCUACUGGAGAAAGAGAGACUAAGUCUAGAAAAACUUGGCUAACAAAGAAUUGGGGUGAACACAAGAAAUUGAUAGCUCCAAUUAAAGGCUUGAAUCUAGAGAUAGCAAGACCCGACUUGAGCAUGUAUCACUUGUUUUGUUAAUUACCCGUUUGGACUUGAAAAAACCAAAUUAGGCAAAAUCACUCUAACUACCAAGUGGUAUCGAGUGGGUAAUUACGUGUGAUUUCUAUAUUACACCCGACCAAUCAAACUUUCCCUAAAUCCCACAAUCGGUUAGGUAACCACCUAGGUGGAAGUCACGACCCUAGAUAUUUUAUAUACUUGAAAAACAACAACACUUUACAAACCUCAGUACAUAAAUUAGAGUAGAAAAAAACAAUCAAACACGUGGAAGUGCAUUUUGGGCGCGUCAUACACUUAUACAUAUAUAUGUAUAUGUGUGUGUGUGUAUAUAUAUAUAUAUAUAUAUAUAUAUAUAUAUAUAUAAAAUAAACUCCAGUUCAAGCUCUCUGUGGAAUCGACCCUAACUUACGUGGGGUAAUUAUAAUUUCAUCGACCGCUUCAAAAUCCCAAUUAGUGGUGUGAAUAUGGGCGCAUCAGCAGGCCUAGAAGGUCGACAUAUUCAGGAUUGCACAAGGAGAGUACGAGUUGCUGCGGGAAUUUGUAACCCGGUUCUAGAAGGAAAGGAUAUUGCUUCCAGCCAUUUCGGAUGAAUGGGCGGCUGAAGCAUUUACCAAUGGAUUGAAUCCGAAUAGUUUUGAUGCUUCCAUGAAAUUGAAAGAAAGUUGAUCGAGUUCCAUGUGACAACUUGGGUGAAUGUUCACAACCGGUAUGAGUCAAAGAUAAGGAUUAAGGAUGAUCAACUCGGUUUUUCCAGCAUCAGUUAAAGGUGGGGAGAAGAAUAAAGAGAAAUAAAAAGACAAUUUCGACAUGGAUAAACGGUCUUUGAAGAGACAAUUUUUUCCCUAUGAACCGACCAAAGGACACAGCAUGGGUUUGCGAUCAGCGGAUAGGUUCGUUACCGAUAGAAGAACUUAUCGCGGCUGGAGCAACAAGUCAUUACAGGACAAGGGAACAUUAGGUUCUCAAUAUGCUUCCUACCCCAGGCUUUCAUAAUAUAAUUUCAACGUCAGUGUAAUUGAGUCUGUAUCGGCUAUGAGGAACAUUAAAGAAGCGCGGUUCCGAAGUCGAUGAGGUUUGAUCCCAGCCAAAGGGAUCCUAAUUUGUGGUGCGAAUACCAUAGAAUGAACGGUCAUCGGAUUGGGGACUGCUGGCAUCUGCGGGAAGAGGUGGUGAUACUAGUAAAAGAAUGGCUAUCUUAGGGAAUAUAAUUCAUAAGUGACCAGGCUAAAAAUAAUUAUGCUCGCAAUCGUGACAAUGUAGAGCCCUCAAAAGUAGGAGAAGAUCCCUCACGCCUGAUGAUCAACAUGAUUUUGGGGGGGGNNNNNNNNNNNNNNNNNNNNNNNNNNNNNNNNNNNNNNNNNNNNNNNNNNNNNNNNNNNNNNNNNNNNNNNNNNNNNNNNNNNNNNNNNNNNNNNNNNNNNNNNNNNNNNNNNNNNNNNNNNNNNNNNNNNNNNNNNNNNNNNNNNNNNNNNNNNNNNNNNNNNNNNNNNGGGGGGUUAACGGGGUUACUUUCUUAGCGGAAAAAAAGACAAAGGUAUCAGCAGCCUAUCACAAGAGACUCCGGGAAGUCGUUGAAGACAACAUCACCUUCACGUUUGGAGGAAGACGCAUAUGGAUUGUUGUUGCCGCACAACAACUCAUUGGUAAUUUCUUUAAAUAUAUUAGAUUUUAAAAUCAAACGUGUAAUGAUGGAUCCAAGGAGUUCGACCAAUAUUGUACAAUGGAAGGUACUGGAGCAAGCCAAACUUACUGGAAGCAUCAUUCCGGCCAUAAAAUUCCUCGCCGAGUUCAACCUAGAAAACGUGACAACCCGAGGAGAGAUCCUGCUGCCCAUUAAUGCCAAAGAGGUGAUGAAGACGACCCUUUUCGAGGUAGUGGAUGGUGAUAUGGGCUACAACAUUAUCCUGGAAAGACCAUGGUUGCACCAGAUGAAAGUCGUGUCAUCGACAUAUCACCAGUUGCUGAAAUUUCCAACUCAACAAAUAAGAGGUGACCAACCGACGACAAGGGGGAUGAAUGCAAUGUCGGUCUCAGUAGAAAAGGGAAGAAGCAUGUAGCAUAGCAAUUACGGGCGGUGCCUGCUCCCGAGUGAAGCAAAGUCUACUAGGCGUGAGAGGUGUCGGAAUUUUAUCAAGUGCCAAGAAAUUUCUAGGUAUCCCGCUGAAAGUGGCCAUACACAAGCUAAACCUGGAUUCCAACGUUCCUAAGGUAAGGCGGAAAAAACGUCCUAUAUUGCCGAGGCUAAUAAUAAAUUCAUCCAAAAAGAGGUAACCAGUGGUGGAGGCAGGGGGCGGAAGGGGGUUCUAACCCCUUCUCGGAGAUUCUGCCUCCGCCACUGGAGGUAACCCGCCUACUUGAGUCUUUUGAGUGUCUAUAAAUAAGUGAAAUAUCCUAGGCCUUGCUGAGUCUAGUUCAUCAGUUCAAACUGUGGGUAAAAUGAGCUAUGUUAGAAUAUUCAAGAUAAAAUAGAUGGUUAUACAUGGGCACUACAUGAACUUUUACUACUAAAUUCUAAUGUCCAAAAAAUAAAAGAAGUCAUUAGCAAAGUGUUCGGAGAAUUUCAGCUGGAAGCUUCUGUAAGUACCUUUCAAGAACAACAAUGAAUCAACUACAGUUUGAAAACACGAGUCUUUCACGAGCCUUUCACGAGCAAGCUUGAAAAGAAAAACAAUUAUCAUAUCUGAAAACAAAUAAGCCAAAAUUCGUUAGUGCUUCAUCAGUAAUUAAGCAGGAACAACAGAUGGUUAGAAGACAAAUGACAAUCCAAGAUUAUAUGAUAAAUUGGUUAGUAGGAUUAGUUUAUAAGGCAAAUGCCAAUACUUUUUUUUGACAGCUUUGCUUUUUUUAUCAUGAACAAAUAGGGAAGGAAACUGAUGCUCAAGUUAUGUACAGAAGUUUGAAAAGAAAGUUUUACCUCAUACUGCCUCUUUGGUUUAGCCAAUCUUGGGUUUUAAGCUACAUGCCCAGAAGA